CACCACUCCCAGCCAGCCCCCCUCCCCCACUUACACGGCCACUCAGCUGAAAAGGACAUUACGCACAUUAGUCCCCCUGCACAAUAGUCCCCCUGAGAAAAGAGGCAGGUCCUCCGACGGCCAGCUGCCUCCACAGAGGCCACAGAGCGGCCUCGGGUUUCCGUCAGUACCCCCACUUCUGCUAAGGGACUGUCGGUGAGUCCAGGUCCAGGUGCCCAGCCACCCGGGGCUUUGGGCUCUACAUUCUGACUUGGAGGAAACCCCAUCCCCGAAGGCUUCCCACCAAUGGCAUCUCCCACUCCUGGGCAGACACGUCGGUGGCCUCUGGAUUCACAAAGCUGCCUCCCGCGUCCUUAGGAAGCAGUGAAGGAAGUGCCAGGGCGGGGCUCCGCCAGCGCAGCAGGGAGCCCAAGUCAGCGGGGCCAUUCUGAGAGGUAAAGUCCAACUCAACUAAGCUGGCCUCCAGCCAAAGGAGGCCGGCUAGGGACGGCACACCCCUGCGCCAGGACAUCCCAGACCUGGGAGGGGGGGAGACGGACCCACCCAUGCGCACACUCACCAUGUGUCACAUGUGUCACAGUGUGAAAACGCAGAGGUGGGAGACAGUGUGAACCAGCCAGGGCCACCAGACUCCACUGAGGCGAGACACCGGGACACAAAUCCAGGGCUGCAGGGGGUGGAGCGACCCUUUAUGGGACGGGGUCUCCCAGGGUGAUAGGCAUGCUCUGGAAGUAGAGAGGUAGGGGCUGCAGGAGGCACGGACGUACGUACCAAGUGCCACUGCAAAGUCCCCUCAACGGGUUCCUUCACCUCCUGCAGAUUGGCCCCGUGAAGAGAGUCUCAAUGCAGCGCCACUAAGAAAUGUGCGCGACCGCUUCGUGGAAAGCCCUGGACCCCGCAUUGCGUCUGUAAACAUCACUAUUGUAAUAAUCGGGAGAAAACGUGCUGAGCCAUUUCUAUGCAGGGAAAAGGCACCAGGCUGCAGGCCACCCAUUCACCAGGACCCUCAGCACCCACACCCUUCCUUCCCUGAACAACUUUACCCUCCUUUGGAAUGUUCCAGGCCAAUAAAAAUGUACCCCAGACGACUGGCUUGCUUGGGGGAGGAAGAAAGCCAAUUUCCCUCUAAGCAGUAUUUGUCCUUCCUCUGGAAUUUGGACGUCAAAGAUUUAAAAAUAAGUUUCUCCCUGGAACAGAGGGCCGGAGUUCAGCGCGCGCGGGAAUGCACUUCCCGGCCCCGGGCUGGGCGCCGGCUCUGGGAGCAGGACUGGGUGCAGUGCAGUGGGACGCUCUCAGAGUCCUCAAAGACCAGCAUCUGGCAGGACUGCGGACUCCAGC
rnacentral:lncRNA from 1 species